GAAUACCUUCGGGUAGGAAGAUAAAAGCGCGAGCGGCGGAUGGGUGAGUAACACGUGGGCAACCUGCCCUUUAGCUUGGGAUACCACUUGGAAACAGGUGCUAAUACCAAAUAAGAAGCAAGAGCGCAUGCUCAAGCUAUGAAAGGCGGCUUUCGAGCUGUCACUAAAGGAUGGGCCCGCGGUGCAUUAGCUAGUUGGUAAGGUAACGGCUUACCAAGGCCAUGAUGCAUAGCCGAGUUGAGAGACUGAUCGGCCACAUUGGGACUGAGACACGGCCCAAACUCCUACGGGAGGCAGCAGUAGGGAAUCUUCCACAAUGGACGCAAGUCUGAUGGAGCAACGCCGCGUGAGUGAAGAAGGUUUUCGGAUCGUAAAGCUCUGUUGUUGGUGAAGAAGGAU
rnacentral:rRNA from 1 species